GACGUAGGGCGCGAGCGUUGUCCGGAUUUAUUGGGCGUAAAGAGCUCGUAGGCGGCUUGUUGCGUCGACCGUGAAAACCCGGGGCUCAACUUCGGGCUUGCGGUCGAUACGGGCGGGCUAGAGUUCGGUAGGGGAGACUGGAAUUCCUGGUGUAGCGGUGAAAUGCGCAGAUAUCAGGAGGAACACCGGUGGCGAAGUCGGGUCUCUGGGCCGAUACUGACGCUGAGGAGCGAAAGCGUGGGGAGCGAACAGG
rnacentral:rRNA from 1 species